rnacentral:rRNA from 1 species
GUAGUCAUAUGCUUGUCUCAAAGAUUAAGCCAUGCAUGUCUAAGUAUAAGCAAUUAUACCGCGAAACUGCGAAUGGCUCAUUAAAUCAGUUAUCGUUUAUUUGAUAGUACCUUACUACAUGGAUAACCGUGGUAAUUCUAGAGCUAAUACAUGCUAAAAAUCCCGACUUCGGAAGGGAUGUAUUUAUUAGAUUAAAAACCAAUGCCCUUCGGGGCUCUCUGGUGAUUCAUAAUAACUUCUCGAAUCGCACGGCCUUGCGCCGGCGAUGGUUCAUUCAAAUUUCUGCCCUAUCAGCUUUCGACGGCUGGGUCUUGGCCAGCCGUGGUGACAACGGGUAACGGGGAAU